rnacentral:misc_RNA from 1 species
GAUGAAGAACGCAGCGAAAUGCGAUAAGUAAUGUGAAUUGCAGAAUUCAGUGAAUCAUCAAAUCUUUGAACGCACAUUGCGCCCGCCAGCAUUCUGGCGGGCAUGCCUGUUCGAGCGUCAUUUCAACCCUCAAGCUCUGCUUGGUGUUGGGGCCCUACGGUUGACGUAGGCCCUUAAAGGUAGUGGCGGACCCUCUCGGAGCCUCCUUUGCGUAGUAACUAACGUCUCGCAUUGGGAUUCGGAGGGACUCUUGCCGUAAAACCCCCAAAUUUUCUAAUGGUUGACCUCGGAUCAGGUAGGAAUACCCGCUGAACUUAAGCAUAUCAAUAAGCGGAGGA